CCACCUGGAGCAGUGCUAGUGUCCAUUUCCAGAGAUCCACUCUCCAUAUCUGCCUUUCUGUAUGUCUGGUUGAGGCCAGUCAGUCAGUCAGAGGAGACUGACGACUCUACAGCAACAUCAGCAGCAGCAGUUCAUCUCUCACAUGUCCUUCAACACACCAACAGAGAGUUUUCCCAAACAGUUGCUACACAAUGAUGCAUGAAACAUGACCUACAAAAAAGUAUAAGCCUAGUUUGUGUCUCUGCUUCCAAACUGUCAAACUUCUCCAAACUUUUCUGAAAACACUGCAACAUUCCUGCUUCCGCUUCCUGAAACCAGAGGGGGCGUGUCCGCAGCGGACAGCGGAGGAGAAACAGCCACACCUGUCGGAUUGACUGUUUUUACCUGCAGCACCUACAUGCAACCACCAGAUGGAAACCAAACACUGAUGAUGAUCAUCUUUACUGAGAUGCUCUGCUGCUGAUGGAUCUGCGAUAAUACAACAGCUGCCAAAGAUAUUGAUAAAACUAUUUUAAAAUAUAAGUGAUCUACAUGUAAACCAAACCUACCAUAAUUUGAAUAAUUCAUUUCCUGAUGCUGUUAAAAUGGUCUCUCCAAUUAGUCAUGCUAGACAUUAAAAUGUGUUAUAAACCAUUUAUUAAAUGAUUGCUAGAUAGUACAGUUCAAGU